CCGUGACAGUUUUGGCUGUCAGCCUUCGGGCUGAGAUGUUGAAAAUUUUGUCUGCAUGUUCGACUUCUGAAGUAAUCAUUAUUUUUUAUACUUUUUUUUUUUGGUAAAGUAGGAAGUGAGAAUAUUUUAUGUAACCGCAAUGCAUAAUUUAUUAAGGCGAAUAUUAUUCAUGUCAAAAACUAUCUCGAAAAAACUUGUUUACAUCAUGUAUGGUCUUUUGAAGAAGCAAUUUCGUUUGUGUUCCAGAGAGACUUGUGCAACAGUGGGUAAUUCGAGAGCAAGAAACGCAAUCGAAAGAACAAAAUAUACUCCAAAUGAACAGAGUGUUCAGUUGAGAUGAUAAUUAAUUACAAACUUCCAAAAUAUUGGCUUGGAGGAAGGCAAUAAUUAUACACCAAGUCGAGUAUGGGUUAAGCAAAUAGAUGGUCCUGGUAAAAUUGCUGAGGUCGAUGAAGCUAGAACUGGCCCUCGUAAAUACACCUGGGGCUGAAGAAUAAUUGAUCGGAGACAUAAUCACAUAAGCUGGAGACUAAGUCAACAGUGAAGUCUUGAAGUGCACGCCCAUGCUUCAGGCCACAUACCGACUGAUCAAGGACCACAACUAGCGAGAAUUAACGACUGAUAUGUUUAUGCAAAUUUACUGCAAUAAAAGGUCCCUUGUCUUCUGUUUAAAUUCAUCGAUCACAGCAAAUUACUUCCAUUAUAUUAGAGACGAUGAUCACCCUAUUCGUGUUUCAUUUAUCUUCUUGAUGGACUCAAGUGACUUGGAAUAUGAUGCAUGUUGCUUUAGUGUUGUUAA